rnacentral:rRNA from 1 species
GAUGAACGCUGGCGGCGUGCCUAAUACAUGCAAGUCGAGCGAACGGACGAGAAGCUAGCUUUUCUGAUGUUAGCGGCGGACGGGUGAGUAACACGUGGAUAACCUACCUAUAAGACUGGGAUAACUUCGGGAAACCGGAGCUAAUACCGGAUAAUAUUUUGAACCGCAUGGUUCAAAAGUGAAAGACGGUCUUGCUGUCACUUAUAGAUGGAUCCGCGCUGCAUUAGCUAGUUGGUAAGGUAACGGCUUACCAAGGCAACGAUGCAUAGCCGACCUGAGAGGGUGAUCGGCCACACUGGAACUGAGACACGGUCCAGACUCCUACGGGAGGCAGCAGUAGGGAAUCUUCCGCAAUGGGCGAAAGCCUGACGGAGCAACGCCGCGUGAGUGAUGAAGGUCUUCGGAUCGUAAAACUCUGUUAUUAGGGAAGAACAUAUGUGUAAGUAACUGUGCACAUCUUGACGGUACCUAAUCAGAAAGCCACGGCUAACUACGUG